GACGAACGCUGGCGGCGUGCUUAACACAUGCAAGUCGAGCGGUAAGGCCCUUUCGGGGGUACGACGAGCGGCGAACGGGUGAGUAACACGUGGGUGACCUGCCCUCAGCUCUGGGAUAAGCCUGGGAAACGUGGGUCUAAUACCGGAUAUGACUCCAUGACGCAUGUUGUGGGGUGGAAAGCCUUGUGCGGCUGAGGAUGGGCCCGCGGCCUAUCAGCUUGUUGGUGGGGGGAU
rnacentral:rRNA from 1 species